rnacentral:rRNA from 1 species
GAUGAACGCUGGCGGCGUGCCUAAUACAUGCAAGUCGAGCGAACAGACGAGGAGCUUGCUCCUCUGACGUUAGCGGCGGACGGGUGAGUAACACGUGGAUAACCUACCUAUAAGACUGGGAUAACUUCGGGAAACCGGGGCUAAUACCAGAUAACAUGUUGAACCGCAUGGUUCAACAGUGAAAGACGGUCUUGCUGUCACUUAUAGAUGGAUCAGCGCCGCAUUAGCUAGUUGGUAAGGUAACGGCUUACCAAGGCAACGAUGCGUAGCCGACCUGAGAGGGUGAUCGGCCACACUGGAACUGAGACACGGUCCAGACUCCUACGGGAGGCAGCAGUAGGGAAUCUUCCGCAAUGGGCGAAAGCCUGACGGAGCAACGCCGCGUGAGUGAUGAAGGUCUUCGGAUCGUAAAACUCUGUUAUUAGGGAAGAACAAAUGUGUAAGUAACUAUGCACGUCUUGACGGCACCUAAUCAGAAAGCCACGGCUAACUACGUGCCAGCAGCCGCGGUAAUACGUAGGUGGCAAGCGUUAUCCGGAAUUAUUGGGCGUAAAGCGCGCGUAGGCGGUUUUUUAAGUCUGAUGUGAAAGCCCACGGCUCAACCGUGGAGGGUCAUUGGAAACUGGAAAACUUGAGUGCAGAAGAGGAAAGUGGAAUUCCAUGUGUAGCGGUGAAAUGCGCAGAGAUAUGGAGGAACACCAGUGGCGAAGGCGACUUUCUGGUCUGUAACUGACGCUGAUGUGCGAAAGCGUGGGGAUCAAACAGGAUUAGAUACCCUGGUAGUCCACGCCGUA